rnacentral:rRNA from 1 species
GACGAACGCUGGCGGCGUGCUUAACACAUGCAAGUCGAACGGAAAGGCCCUGCUUUUGUGGGGUGCUCGAGUGGCGAACGGGUGAGUAACACGUGAGUAACCUGCCCUUGACUUUGGGAUAACUCCAGGAAACUGGGGCUAAUACCGGAUAGGAGCUCCUGCUGCAUGGUGGGGGUUGGAAAGUUUCGGCGGUUGGGGAUGGACUCGCGGCUUAUCAGCUUGUUGGUGGGGUAGUGGCUUACCAAGGGUUUGACGGGUAGCCGGCCUGAGAGGGUGACCGGCCACAUUGGGACUGAGGUACGGCCCAGACUCCUACGGGAGGCAGCAGUGGGGAAUAUUGCACAAUGGGCGGAAGCCUGAUGCAGCAACGCCGCGUGCGGGAUGACGGCCUUCGGGUUGUAAACCGCUUUCGCCUGUGACGAAGCGUGAGUGACGGUAAUGGGUAAAGAAGCACCGGCUAACUACGUG